rnacentral:rRNA from 1 species
AGGAAAAGAAACUAACAAGGAUUCCCCUAGUAACUGCGAGUGAAGCGGGAAAAGCUCAAAUUUAAAAUCUGGCGGUCUUUGGCCGUCCGAGUUGUAGUCUGGAGAAGCGUUUUCCGCGUUGGACCGUGUACAAGUCUCUUGGAACAGAGCGUCAUAGAGGGUGAGAAUCCCGUCUUUGACACGGACUACCAAUGCUUUGUGAUGCGCUCUCAAAGAGUCGCGUUGUUUGGGAAUGCAGCGCAAAAUGGGAGGUGAAUUCCUUCUAAAGCUAAAUAUUGGCGAGAGACCGAUAGCGAACAAGUACCGUGAGGGAAAGAUGAAAAGCACUUUGGAAAGAGAGUUAAACAGUACGUGAAAUUGCUGAAAGGGAAACGCUUGAAGUCAGUCGCGUCGUCCGGAACUCAGCCUUGCUUCGGCUUGGUGCACUUUCCGGAUGACGGGCCAGCAUCGAUUUUGACCGCUGGAAAAGGGCUGGAGGAAUGUGGCACCUUCGGGUGUGUUAUAGCCUUCAGUCGCAUACAGCGGUUGGGAUCGAGGAACGCAGCACGCCUUAUGGCUGGGGUUCGCC